rnacentral:rRNA from 1 species
UAAUAGCGUAUAUUAAUGUUGUUGCAGUUAAAAAGCUCGUAGUUGGAUUUUGGUGCCGUCACGCUUGCCGCCUCACGGUAGUGCGAUCGGGACGACACUUCUUUUCUGAACGACUAUGCUGAUCUUCACGGAUGGGCAUAGGAGUCAGAUCGUUUACUUUGAAAAAAUUAGAGUGUUCAAAGCAGGCCAACGCAUUGAAUACAUUAGCAUGGAAUAAUGGAAUAGGACUUUGGUCAUAUUUUGUUGGUUCGAAGACCGAGGUAAUGAUUAAUAGGGAUAGUUGGGGGCGUUUAUAUUCCGUUGUCAGAGGUGAAAUUCUUGGAUUUACGGAAGAUAAACUACUGCGAAAGCAUUCGCCAAGGAUGUUUUCAUUAAUCAAGAACGAAAGUUAGGGGAU